ACUCUGACGCACGCAGUAGCAGCAGCGCGGUGGGAUGGUCGCAUAUCCACGGCGCGUGCGUCGCCGUGCCGACCUGCCUCGGAUUCCGGUCGGAUGGAAGGCGGCAGUGGAUUCGACGGCGCAACCAUGAAAAGGCGGCGGAGCAGCGCGGUGAGGAGGCCUAGGCCGGAGGGCGGCCCUGCCACGGACCAGCGGGACAACAGCGUCUCCUCCCCUCCAUCGUCGUCUAGGAGCGGCUCGAGGAGGCUGCUGGUGACUUCAGAUGAGAACGCCGCCGGCGUCUACGGGGGCCAGCGGAGGCGGGAGUUCCACCUCAACGCCCCAUCGCCGGAGAGCGCCACCAAGGGGAGCAUCCGGCUGCGUUUCGAGGCCGCGAGCGGUGGAGCCAGGAAGGCCGAGGGUAGCAGCCAUGUUGCUCAGCCUGAGGGGAACUGUGUGGUUCGACCCCGGCCGGUGGCAAGCCGGGGAAGGUGAAGCUGAAAAUUCGGAACGUGUUGCCAAAACCGGACCCUGAUGUAGUGGAUUCCAGGUCUUUGCCGGUGAAGCCUCCUCGGCCAGAAGAUUCAAGGCACCAGCAAAAGACAGACGGUGCAAAAGAUUCUGACAAGUCAUCCUUUUCAAGAGAUAAGAAAUCCAGAAAGGAGAGGUUAGUUGAAGAAGCAAUCAGCCAAAGUUCAGAGAGACCUGAACACUGAGUACUCGUGGUUUAGGGGAGGGAGACGAUUCGGGAGGUCCAUGCUGCAGCUAAACAAAGGCUUCAGCUGAUGUGUUACAAAUAUCUUUGUGACAAUUUGAUCGUUGAGAUUUUCUAGCAGAGAAUUUCUUUAGCUAUUUUGACCUGGACCCCAACUGCUUGUUGUCAGAUGAUGUCAAGCAGUAUUUAGCUCACUGGGAUUCAAUGCAAAGGCCUUUGAAUGCAUGUUGAAAUAUUUCAAGGCUACCUGCCAUACUCUACCGGGUCUGGAAAAUCACUACUCGUGAGGUAAAUAUUAGUUACAGGCUUACAGACUAAACAUCAGUAACCAGUUGUGCAUACUGCAGAAUGGCAAAUCAGUAUUCUCUAGACCAUGGCAGAUAUGACUGUGUUCGGCUGGCUGAUUCUGGUGGCUGGUGCUGAUUUUUUGUGAGAGAAAAGUACUGCUGGCUGGCUGGUGCUGGUUUUGUGUGAGAGAGAAAUACUGUUGGCUGGAUGCAGUGAAGAUGAAGCGAACAGUCAGACCAUUACCUGCUUUAUUUAGUGGUGCAGAUAUGAACUACAGUCAGACCAUUACCUGCUUGAUGAAUACCAGCUAACUUAUGACCCUAGGUGGUUCAAGGACCAAAUCCAGGAAGUCCUAAGCUUUUGGCAAGGAUCACGGGAACCUAAAUUUGUCACUGAAGAGGAGAGGUGGAAAUGCAGUUCCUGCAAAUUCGCACCAAAAUGGCCGAUGAUCACUUCCACAUCAAGGUGUUGACACUAACCAAAACAUGCUCAGAUUUGGUUGGAGCUUGGUGAAAUAUUUGACACUGAGCUGAAGAACCGAAAGUAGUAUUAUUGAAGGAAUAUUUGAAAUGCCUUGCAUUCCUUCUUUUGUGUUUUCUGUUUUCUUCUCGGAUGAAGAAAUGUAACUUUGUCUCUCACGUAUUAUUGAUUAGCGAUAGAAUUCUGUUCUUGGUGCUUAAGGGCCUUGUAGCCUCUGCU